rnacentral:rRNA from 1 species
GUACAGUANNNNNNNGCGGAAUUCGUGGUGUAGCGGUGAAAUGCUUAGAUAUCACGAAGAACUCCGAUUGCGAAGGCAGCUCACUGGACUGCAACUGACACUGAUGCUCGAAAGUGUGGGUAUCAAACAGGAUUAGAUACCCUGGUAGUCCACACAGUAAACGAUGAAUACUCGCUGUUUGCGAUAUACAGUAAGCGGCCAAGCGAAAGCAUUAAGUAUUCCACCUGGGGAGUACGCCGGCAACGGUGAAACUCAAAGGAAUUGACGGGGGCCCGCACAAGCGGAGGAACAUGUGGUUUAAUUCGAUGAUACGCGAGGAACCUUACCCGGGCUUAAAUUGCAGUGGAAUGAUGUGGAAACAUGUCAGUGAGCAAUUACCGCUGUGAAGGUGCUGCAUGGUUGUCGUCAGCUCGUGCCGUGAGGUGUCGGCUUAAGUGCCAUAACGAGCGCAACCCUUAUCUUCAGUUACUAACAGGUCAUGCUGAGGACUCUGGAGAGACUGCCGUCGUAAGAUGUGAGGAAGGUGGGGAUGACGUCAAAUCAGCACGGCCCUUACGUCCGGGGCUACACACGUGUUACAAUGGGGGGUACAGAAGGCAGCUAGCGGGUGACCGUAUGCUAAUCCCAAAAUCCUCUCUCAGUUCGGAUCGAAGUCUGCAACCCGACUUCGUGAAGCUGGAUUCGCUAGUAAUCGCGCAUCAGCCACGGCGCGGUGAAUACGUUCCCGGGCCUUGUACACACCGCCCGUCAAGCCAUGGGAGCCGGGGGUACCUGAAGUACGUAACCGCAAGGAUCGUCCUAGGGUAAAACUGGUGACUGGGGCUAAGUCGUAACAAGGUAACCA